CCUACGGGUGACUGCAGUGAGGAAUAUUGGUCAAUGGACGCAAGUCUGAACCAGCCAUGUCGCGUGCAGGAAGACGGCCCUAUGAGUUGUAAACUGCUUUUGUACGAGGGUAAACGCAGACACGCGUAUCUGUUUGUAUGUAUCGUACGAAUAAGGAUCGGCGAACUCCGUGCCAGAAGCCGCGGUAAUACGGAGGAUUCAAGCGUUAUCCGGAUUUAUUGGGUUUAAAGGGGGCGUAGGGGGUCGGAUAAGUUAGAUGUGAAAUCCCGAGGCUCAACUUCGGAAUUGUAUCUGAGACUGGUCGGCUAGAGAGUAGUUGCGGUGGGCGGAAUGUAUGGUGUAGCGGUGAAAUGCUUAGAGAUCAUGCAGAACACCGAUUGCGAAGGCAGCUUACCAAGCUGCUUCUGACGUUGAGGCACGAAAGCGUGGGUAGCAAACAGGAUUAGAUACCCGUGUAGUC
rnacentral:rRNA from 1 species